CCUACGGGUGGCAGCAGUAGGGAAUUUUCGUCAAUGGGCGCAAGCCUGAACGAGCAAUGCCGCGUGAACGAGGAAGGUCUUCGGAUCGUAAAGUUCUGUUGAAGGGGAAAAAGAGCGGUGAGCGGAAAUGGUCUCCGAUUGAUAUUACCCUUCGAGGAAGUCACGGCUAACUACGUGCCAGCAGCCGCGGUAAUACGUAGGUGGCGAGCGUUAUCCGGAAUGAUUGGGCGUAAAGGGUGUGUAGGCGGUGUAGCAAGUUAGAAGUGAAAUACCUAGAGCUUAACUCAGGUGCUGCUUCUAAAACUGCUAUACUUGAGUGCAGUAGAGGAAAGUGGAAUGCCUAGUGUAGCGGUGGAAUGCGUAGAUAUUAGGAGGAACAUCAGUGGCGAAGGCGACUUUCUGGACUGUAACUGACGCUGAGGCACGAAAGUGUGGGGAGCAAACAGGAUUAGAUACCCUGGUAGUC
rnacentral:rRNA from 1 species